rnacentral:rRNA from 1 species
CCUACGGGUGGCUGCAGUGGGGAAUAUUGGACAAUGGGGGGAACCCUGAUCCAGCCAUGCCGCGUGUGUGAAGAAGGCCCUCGGGUUGUAAAGCACUUUCAGUGAGGAAGAACGCCUGGUGGUUAAUACCCAUCAGGAAAGACAUCACUCACAGAAGAAGCACCGGCUAACUCCGUGCCAGCAGCCGCGGUAAUACGGAGGGUGCGAGCGUUAAUCGGAAUUACUGGGCGUAAAGCGCGCGUAGGUGGCUUGAUAAGCCGGUUGUGAAAGCCCCGGGCUCAACCUGGGAACGGCAUCCGGAACUGUCAAGCUAGAGGGCAGGAGAGGAAGGUAGAAUUCCCGGUGUAGCGGUGAAAUGCGUAGAGAUCGGGAGGAAUACCAGUGGCGAAGGCGGCCUUCUGGACUGACACUGACACUGAGGUGCGAAAGCGUGGGUAGCAAACAGGAUUAGAUACCCUGGUAGUC